UGAGGUAUAGCUCAGUGGUAGACUGGGCACUUGGGGUGCAUGAGGUCCUGGGUUCAAUCCCCAGUGCCUCCA
rnacentral:tRNA from 1 species